GACAGAGGGUGCAAACGUUGUUCGGAAUACUGGGCGUAAAGCGUGUGUAGGCGGCUUGGCAAGUCGGAUGUGAAAGCCCCGGGCUCAACCCGGGAAGUGCACUCGAUACUGCCGAGCUUGAGUAUCGGAGAGGUGGGUGGAAUUCUCGGUGUAGAGGUGAAAUUCGUAGAUAUCGAGAGGAACACCGGCGGCGAAGGCGGCCCACUGGACGAAUACUGACGCUGAGACACGAAAGCGUGGGGAGCAAACAGG
rnacentral:rRNA from 1 species